GUUAAGCGACUAAGCGUACACGGUGGAUGCCCUGGCAGUCAGAGGCGAUGAAGGGCGUGCUAAUCUGCGAUAAGCGCCGGUAAGGUGAUAUGAACCGUUAUAACCGGCGAUACCCGAAUGGGGAAACCCAGUGUGAUUCGUCACACUAUCAUUAACUGAAUCCAUAGGUUAAUGAGGCGAACCGGGGGAACUGAAACAUCUAAGUACCCCGAGGAAAAGAAAUCAACCGAGAUUCCCCCAGUAGCGGCGAGCGAACGGGGAGGAGCCCAGAGCCUGAAUCAGCAUGUGUGUUAGUGGAAGCGUCUGGAAAGGCGCGCGAUACAGGGUGACAGCCCCGUACACAAAAGCGCAUGUGCUGUGAGCUCGAUGAGUAGGGCGGGACACGUGGUAUCCUGUCUGAAUAUGGGGGGACCAUCCUCCAAGGCUAAAUACUCCUGACUGACCGAUAGUGAACCAGUACCGUGAGGGAAAGGCGAAAAGAACCCCGGCGAGGGGAGUGAAAAAGAACCUGAAACCGUGUACGUACAAGCAGUGGGAGCACCCUUUGGGGUGUGACUGCGUACCUUUUGUAUAAUGGGUCAGCGACUUAUAUUCUGUAGCAAGGUUAACCGUAUAGGGGAGCCGCAGGGAAACCGAGUCUUAAUUGGGCGUUAAGUUGCAGGGUAUAGACCCGAAACCCGGUGAUCUAGCCAUGGGCAGGUUGAAGGUUGGGUAACACUAACUGGAGGACCGAACCGACUAAUGUUGAAAAAUUAGCGGAUGACCUGUGGCUGGGGGUGAAAGGCCAAUCAAACCGGGAGAUAGCUGGUUCUCCCCGAAAGCUAUUUAGGUAGCGCCUCGUGAAUUCAUCUCCGGGGGUAGAGCACUGUUUCGGCUAGGGGGCCAUCCCGGCUUACCAACCCGAUGCAAACUGCGAAUACCGGAGAAUGUUAUCACGGGAGACACACGGCGGGUGCUAACGUCCGUCGUGAAGAGGGAAACAACCCAGACCGCCAGCUAAGGUCCCAAAGUCAUGGUUAAGUGGGAAACGAUGUGGGAAGGCCCAGACAGCCAGGAUGUUGGCUUAGAAGCAGCCAUCAUUUAAAGAAAGCGUAAUAGCUCACUGGUCGAGUCGGCCUGCGCGGAAGAUGUAACGGGGCUAAACCAUGCACCGAAGCUGCGGCAGCGAACGUAUCACUUAAAGCGAUUCAGCGGGUUACGAUUGACGGAGCGAAGCGACGUCAAAGCGUAUACAAAGUCGAGUCGGUUUAAGGAUACGUUCG
rnacentral:rRNA from 1 species